rnacentral:lncRNA from 1 species
UUUUUUUUAUUAAUUUGAGACAGAGAGGGUACAAGCAGGGAGGAGGGUCAGAGGGAGAGGGAGAAGCAGACUCCUCACUCAUGCAGGAAGCCUGAUGUGGGGCUCAAUCCCAGGACCCCAAUGUCAUGACCUAAGCCAAAGGCAGAUGCUACUGAGCCACCCAGGCACCCCUAGAUAUCUUUAUUUUAAAAACAAAACUAUAACUUGACUAUCACACCUAAAAAUAACCCCCUGAAUAUUUUCUUAAUAUCCUCAAAUAUCCAGACAGUUUUUAAGAAUUGAGAUACAAAAAUCCAUUAGUUGUUAUUAUCUCUUAAGUCUCUCUUUUUAAAAAAGUUGCAUAUUAUGAAAAUUUUCAAACACAUACAAAGUAAGCAAUAUAAUAUACAUACACAACACCUAGCUUUAAUCAUGACCAUCAGUCUUUUUUCUUGUAUCAUCUAUACCUCUACCCACUCUCCAAUUUCCAUUCCAUUAUUUUUUAACAGUGUUUGUACAUAUAUUUAAACAUACAAAUCUUAGUUGUAUAGUUUUGACAAAUGGAUAUACCAAUGUAACCCAUAUCCCUAUCAUCACAUAGGAAUUUACAUCUCCCUAGAUGGUCCCCUUGUGCCUCUUACCCCUUCACAGGCAACUUCUAUGUUGAUUUUUAUUUUAGCCUUAGAUUAGUGCCUGUUCUAGGCCUUUAUCCUCUUUUAUGUUUAGCUUCUUCUCAGUACAAUGUCUGUGAGAUUCAGUCUACUUCAUAUAAUUGCUAUCACUACUACAGUAUGUUUAUCCUUUCUCCUGUUGAUGGACAUUUGGUUAAUGAAGGUUUUUGUUAUUGAGAAUAAAGCUGCUAUGAACAUUAUUCCAUAAGACUACCAGUGCUUAAACUUUUUUUAAAGGUCUAAGUGGGGUGCGUGUGUGCGUGUGUGUGUGUGUGUGUGUGUGUGUGUGUAGGUGCAGGGAGUUGGUUAUUGUUGAGGAAUCCAGGUCAUUUGUCCAGUAGAAUGUCUAGUCAGGAUUCUGCUGAUUGCAUCCACUUAUGUUUUACAUAUUCCUCUGUCCCUUGAAUUUUCUGUAAAUUGAUCAUUAGAUCUAGAGGCAUAAAAGAUUCAAGUUCAAUUUUGUCAAGACUGUUUCAAAGGUGUUGUUGUGCACUUCCAUUAGAAGAUCACAGUGAUGAGUAUUCUUUUAUUUGAUACUGUAACUUUGGGAUAGGUUUCUAGAAAUGAGAUUGUUGGAUUAAAGGGUAAAUGUAUAUAAACUUUCACUAGAUUUAACUUAUGAGAUUUUCAGGUAUAUAUUAUAAACUAUAAUAUGCUGUUCAGUGAGGUAUUGGUUGUGGUAAUUUUGCUACGUAGAAAUACACAUACACACACAAUUUAAUCUCAUUAUUUGUAGUAGUUAUGAUCUAUAAAGUUGCUGCAAACACUGAAUUAGUAAGUACUGAACCAUGCCUCCUAGAGAAAAAUACAAGGUUAAGAUCCUGUGAGCAUCUGGUCACAACAUUUUAGUCAACUCAGCAAUAGAUAAUCUUAUUUUAUGUGUACUUCUGCUUAAAGACAACUUAUUUAAUAUAUAUUGUUGAUUCAUUAAUAUUGAGCUCACAGUCAACAGCACUAUAACUCAUGCCUAAAUGAAACUUAUCUAACACGCAUAUUUUCUCUGAGGGCAACAGCACAGCCUUCCUAUGCUUAGAAACAUUAGACAGCAGCUCAGCACUGUUUGUGGGCCCUUUUAAACAUUGAAAUCACACACACACAAACAAAAGCAGAAGACAUAAAAAUCUGAACAACCUGGUGCUAAAUGGACCACAAAAUGGACACUUAUUUACAGUAUGAGAUCUAAGACAAGAAGGCAGAACAUUACCUUGUUCAGCCUCAGCUAGGUAUGUGGGUGCCAAGAAACUCAAAUUUUGGGGGACUCGUGGCAUGUCCAUGAAUGACCUACGAAAGCACUAUGAUUAUUAAUAUGGGAAUUACAAGUAUUUUUAGUGAGUAGGCAAAAUCACAAAUACGUACUCCAUGAAGAAUGAGAAUCAACUCUAUACAUAAAACAGGGUUAGCAUCUGUUUCCAAUCCCCCAGAAAUUGGGCAGCUAAAAAGAAGAAUAAACAUAUUCUUUUCAGCAGGCUCAAUGGGACUAUAUUCCCAUGAGAGCUAGGCUUGAUGGAGGUAUCCUGUCUCAAAAACGUGUAGACUGAAGCGUAACCAUAACUCACUGUGAUAGGAGAUGUAGGUAAAUUGGGUUGUAAAUAUGCUAACAUUUUUACUAAGAAAGAACCCUCCUUAAGUGAGAAAAAUAUCAUAUAUAGUGGUGGAAAUGGCGUGAGGUUUAGAAAGUAUAGAAGUGUCUAAGAAAACUAGCUUAAAAUCUGACCUGAAAGAAAGAAAAGACUGAGGACUUAGUACAGAAUAAAUGCAAAGAAUAUAGUUCUAAGAUGUUUCACUGAAUGGGGAGUGAGAGACAUACUACCUAAUGAGGAUGUCUGGUGAUGACAAGAAUCAAUUUACCUGGGAGAUAAGAAGUAAUAGAAAAUCCUUUGCCUCACUAAUGAGAAGUAGUUCUGACUUGGACUUGAGGGUAUAUGUAUGGGAAGCCAUAGUGAAAAAAGACCAAGUGAAUCCAGAAUAUGCUUUAAAAAAAUUAUCUUGUUCUAGGUAUGAACCUUAGAGAGCAAUUUGUAAAGAGUUUGAUUGAUUAAUUAAUUAAGUAAUAUCAGAUCACUAUAAUAAUAAAUAAAAACAAUGCCUGGUGGUUUACAUAUUGAGAUAGAUAUUCUGCUCCCAAGUCCUCCGUAAAUUAUAGUCUCACAUUUGGCUCUCCAUAUAUUGAGCAAAAGCUGGUAUAAAAAUUAUCAGAGGAGUGCCUGGGUGGCUUAGUCUGUUAAGUGUCUGCCUUUGGCUGGGGUCAUGAUCCUGGGGUCCUGGGAUCAAGCCCUGCAUUGGGCUCCCUGCUCAGUGGGGGACCUACUUCUCCCUCUCCUUCUCCUGCUCUCUCUGCUUGUACUCUCACUCUCUCUCUCCCUCUCUCUGUCAAAUUAACAAAUGAAAUCUUUAAAAAAAAAGAGAGAGAGAAUUAUCAGAGACACUAGGGCCAACACAUAGGAUAACAGCCAUAUUUUUCAAAUAUACCAUGACAAUUACUCUCCCACCUCUUAUCCCUAAUACUAUUCUCUUGAGAGGCAACAACAGAAAAUAUACCACUAGAUUUUUGCUUCAGACUUACCCUUAAAAUUUCUCUAGUUUAGAUAUCGGGCUGAAGAUAUUUCUUGAAGUCGAGUCACAGAGACAUUCUAGUGCUUGACCACAACACUUAUAUCCCUAUGGUGAGACUCCAGCCUCCUUCCCAGCCCCAACCAGGAUUCCCAUAAAACUCUCCUAUAAUUCUCUUUCCUAAGACGCUCUUAUAAAUAGCAUGUCCUAAAUCAUGGACACUAGCCUAGGUUUCCCUUUUUGCUUAUUGGACAUCUUGCCUGCACUCACUAGUUUCUCUCUGGCUUUAAGAAUUUCAAAGGCCAUCUCCAGGAGGCAGAGGUGGAAAUGGUACUAGAAAAGCCCAUUUGGAUUAUAUACUUUUAAAGACAGUGACUUAGAUCAUAUGAAGAUUAUCAACACAGUAACAAACACCUACGUUUUAGUUUCUUACUGACCAGACUUAACAAUAUUUAGGGAAAUCAUGAGAAGCAAUUCUUACUCCCAGAAGCCUAGAAUUCAGGAAAGCUCUGCUUUUGCAGAGUCAGAGUCAGAGUCAUUUUGCUGACUGAGAAAAAUAAAAAGGAAUUUGGUAGAAACUUUUGUUAUAUAUAUAUAUAUAUAUAUAUGUAUGUGUAUAUAUAUAUAUGACAUAUAUGUGACAUUUAUAUAUAUAUAAAGUAGUAGGAUUGAUAUGAAAUAAAAAUAUUUUCAUAAUUUCAGGUUCAGUUUGAACUUUUGUUUACUUAAUUUCUGAAUUUCAUUGUUCAAUUAGAAUCAUACAAUAACAUGAGAUUAUUUUGCUAUCCAAAGCAAUUUGUUGCUAUUCAUUCCUCAACAAUAGCUCUCUACCCUCAUCUUUUACUCUCCAAUUCCAAAUUCCAAUAUUAUUCAACUGGAGGAUUAGACUGAGUGAGGAGUUGAAGACAAACAGGUGAUACUUAACACAAAGCAAUGAAAUACAUAAUGUAAGCAUUCCAUUUUGAAAUAAGUUAGAUGUUAAGAAAUAUAGCUGCUAUGAAUUUUUACUGAUGACAUGCCUGUUGUGACCUAGGCUAUUGAUAUGGUUGGCCAAGCAUGAAUAGAAGCAUAAACAUUUCUAUACCUGAACUCAGGCAAAGUGGUUAACUUAGAAGAAACUUCAAGUCUAUAUUUAUCAAUGGAGCAGACAAAAUGGAAUCAAAUGACACAGGAAGAAAAAAAGGGAAAAAAAAGAUAACUAUAUGGUAAAAAUCCCAAUUAUCUUGGGAUCAUUUUUCCAGCAAUCAAAAUAGGACCAUUAACCCAAAGGUAAAACUUCUGAGCUGCUAAAAAAAAAAAAAAGAAAAAAA